UGGUUAAGCGUGGUAGUCCUCGGUUGAAUGAGUUUGAGGCCUUUUAAUUUUUGACGUACAGGCUUUUUGCAUGGAAGGUUAAGGCGUCGGCGCUUCUGUAACUGUCAUGUGGGGGCUGGUUCAUGCAGAAGCAGUGGAGGUGUUACUGAAGCUGAGUGAAGGAUCCACAUCAGCACCAAUGUGACAGGCUGAAGGGUGCCGGUAGGGAGCGUUGCUGCCAGCAGGCGUAAAAAGGUCCCUUGAAUUCUGACUGGAGCUGAAAUGCAUCUGUUAGCAGACUGUGAGGCUGGUUCACCUAGAAGCAGUGGAGAUUGUGUUGAAACUGCAUGACGUCAAGUGAAGGAUCUCCAUCACUGCCUGUGAGAACACUUCAGGCUGGCAACACAGGGAGUGUUGCUACUGAGAGCUGUCAUGAGGAUGAAAUGUGUAAGAUUUGAGGUUAUCACAGCAGUGAAUGGAGAUUACAGUCUUCUGGCAUGUGACAUCAUGUGGUGUGGCAUGUACCAAACUGCAAUGUUACCAGGACCCUGGAGGAAGCUGCUGCCUGCAUCUUCAGGUUUCUCAGAUAUGUAGCUACCAGACUACGUGGCGGCACAUCUUGGAAGGAAACCUGUUUUGUUAGAAUAUUAGCCAUAAGGAUGAAUGUUUCAAAUGAAGCUCAUUGUAUUGUGA